rnacentral:rRNA from 1 species
UGGGGAAUAUUGGACAAUGGGCGCAAGCCUGAUCCAGCCAUGCCGCGUGAGUGAAGAAGGCCUUAGGGUUGUAAAACUCUUUCGCCGGGGAAGAUAAUGACGGUACCCGGAGAAGAAGCUCCGGCUAACUUCGUGCCAGCAGCCGCGGUAAUACGAAGGGAGCUAGCGUUGUUCGGAAUUACUGGGCGUAAAGCGCACGUAGGCGGACUUGUCAGUCAGGGGUGAAAUCCCAAGGCUCAACCUUGGAACUGCCUCCGAUACAGCAAGCCUAGAGAUCGGGAGAGGUGAGUGGAAUUCCUAGUGUAGAGGUGCAAUUCGUAGAUAUUAGGAAGAACACCAGUGGCGAAGGCGGCUCACUGGCCCGAUACUGACGCUGAGGUGCGAAAGCGUGGGGAGCAAACAGGAUUAGAUACCCCAGUAGUCCCUGAGCGGGCUGGCAAGGCGCAU